rnacentral:rRNA from 1 species
GAGUUUGAUCCUGGCUCAGGAUGAACGCUAGCGGCAGGCCUAACACAUGCAAGUCGAGGGGUAGAGGGUGCUUGCAUCCUUGAGACCGGCGCACGGGUGCGUAACGCGUAUGCAACCUGCCUUCCACAGGGGGAAUAGCCCAGAGAAAUUUGGAUUAAUGCCCCAUGGCACACCGAGACGGCAUCGUCUUGGUGUUAAAAGUAACAACGGUGGAAGAUGGGCAUUGCGUCCCAUUAGCUAGUUGGUAAGUAACGGCUUACC